CUGUUUACAGAAAUACCAGACAUAUUUUCAAAGCAUUUGAAUACCUGUGGGCCAAAAGCAUCGCAACCUCUACCCCGGCCGAAAGUUCAGAAAAGCCAGCCGCCAAAGAGAAACCUCUGGCCCAGGGCUGAUCUACAACCGAUGGAUGGGUGGGGGUCUGAGGAUGGGACGCCAGCCACUUAGAGCAAUGGACCUUGAAGACCACAAAACGUAGUACCGCAACAGGAACAACAGCCACAAGCAGCUAUCAUGAAUCAUAGGAAAGCAUUUGAAUUGCAAAAGACUGCCCAGAUAUACAUAUGAAAAUAGUCCGCAAUUGUUUCUACAUAUAUUGAGGCAUAAG
rnacentral:sRNA from 1 species